UUGAAUGGCAUCAUUUGAGACCUUGCAAUCACUUUAAAAAAUCACUUAAUGCCAAUGGAAUCAGCAAAUCUGCAUGCAAGAAGAAGAGCCGCACCUCUGCUUCCAUCGUGCUCGUCUCAGUCCUCUACAGUCACUGAAGAACCUCCGGACGGAGUUAAAAAUAAAAUCCUCGUCCGGCUCAGGAGCUCCGAGGCGGCUACCUCUCUACGUUUCCAGCAUCGCAGUCACGAGAAGUGCUCUGUUUGCCCUUGCCUUUUAGUCAAAAUCGUUGUUGCACUCAGAUUCAGGUUCCUUCCUUCAUCACCGGCGUCGAAACUCAUUGGUGACAUCUCCAGGACUUCUUCCAUCUUUUCUAAUCAUCAGUCGCGCUCAGUUAUUGUUCUUAUUCAAGGUCGCGAAUUCGUGCCAAAGCCAAUCGUGUCUGAGUUGAUCUCUAUAAUUGUGAAUGUCGUGCAUUGCUUUAGUAUUA